UGGGCCUCUCCCUCCACAACCCCCGCAAGCUGAGGGAGCCGGCCCCGGCCUUGGCCUGCCCAGAAAGGGGCUCCCACAGUGCAGCGGCAAGCUGAAGGGCUCGUCAAGUGCCGCCAAAGUGGGAGCCCAGGCAGAGGAGGUGCCGAGAGCGAGUGAGGGGUGUGAGGACUGCCAGCACGCUGUCACCUCUCACUUGGAUCCUGCAUAUGUACUUGGUUCAGCAGUCACACCUAAAGAUCUUGUAUAGUCUGAAAUUAUUAACGGUCAACUGGGUUUGAAGCUUCUAAAACCUACUUCAUUCCUUGGAUUAUGG
rnacentral:lncRNA from 10 species